rnacentral:antisense_RNA from 1 species
CCAGCCAGCACAGCCCACCUCUCCUCUCCAGGCCAGGGCCCCACACACCUCCCGCCUGACAGCCAGCCAAGCUCUUCAGUCCCCCGCCCUCCACCUGCCAGGGAGGCUCCGGGCGUUAUACCUGCCACCACGGGGUAGGUCUGGUACAAAGCACUGGGAAUACAACCUUGAACAAGACAAGAAUCCUGGCCUUCAAGGAACUUCGAACCUUUUGGGGGAUAUAAGACACAUUAGGAAUCACCAUGUUAAUGGUGAUCUUUCUUGAAGGAUAUAAGUCCAGACACAUAUACUCAUAGAAAUGAGUUAUUUAAAGAAGACGGUCCAGAUUCCACAGUCCAAAAAAAAAAAGAGGUUUGCCCUGCUUCCGAAGGAGUCAGGAUAUGAAUGCAGAGGUCUUCCUGUUGGCUCACAUAUCAGACCUUCAACGUCAACAUUAAAUGCGAGUGAUGCUUCCCCCUCUGUGAAUGUGGCUUUGGGUAUGGCUAAUCCACACCCUGCACUCUGGCCUUCAGAAGCCCAGGGAGAGAAGCCUCCCAGAAGCAACCUUCCAGAACCUUCUCCAUCCUCCCACCGACCUCCCCAGCCCCUGUCCUCUCUUUGAAUCUCGUUGUCAAGUUCUUUCCGCAGACGCCUGGCUCCUUGAGGGGAGGUGCAGCUUUCAUCUGACCAUGCAGGCGUGCUUUGCAGUGGGUAGAGCAGUGCUGAAAGAACAUCAGUGUAUCAGCACAGCAAAUAUUCCAAAUGCCAGGCUGGAUUCCCUCCAAUUACCAGAACCUCCAGGCUUCUCCUCCUUUCAAGAACUUUCUGACCCUGGAUCCAGUCUAAAUGUUGGUUAUAAACUCACCUGACAUCCACAGGGCCCUUCCAAAGUACUGUCAAGGCUGACUGCUGGUGCCUGGAACCUGCACACCCUCCUGGGACUCUGCAUCUCUGCUGGGGCUGGUUUCUCCUCUGAGCCACCUUAAGGAAUCCCAUCCUGACCCGGUCAGAGCUCAGCAUGCCUCCCUCUCCUACUUGCUCAGCAUUUUCUGUCUAUCUAGACUGAAGCCUUUGCUUUCUCUCUGUGAUUGUGGUGAAAGUUCAGUUUGCUUUCCUCUCUCUAGAAUGUCAGCAUGAAGGCAGAGGGAUGGUCUCCUGAGUUCCAUAACCCCAAAGCCUAACUCCCUGCCUGCCACACUGAGGGGCUCAGUAGACAUUGACUUACUAAAUUGAAUAGUUGAGUAAUAAUGCUCUUUGAAAUAAUUUGGAGUUAGAUCUUGAGCCUUGUGUGGCCAGGGGAUGGGUGAGGACACAUCAUAAAAACUAAAGGUAACUGAGCAUGCCAGCAGUUGGGGUGAGAAAUUUGCAUGGAGCACUCCAGACGCAGAGGCAGUGCUGGGAAAGAACCCAAGUGCUGGGAAGUCAGAGUGAGAGAGUGAAGGGGCAGUGAGUGCUUCUUUAGGAGCUGGAUCAAAACCUAAGAUGAUCUGGCCACAUGGUGCAGACUGAGCACACACUUGGGAGAGAAAUGGGCCAGGAGGAGAGGAGAGAGGUUCACCACAGGACAGUGGAUGACUGGGAAUAGAAGCCCUCCCCAUGGUGGACCAAGAAGUCUGUGAAGCUGAGAGAAAGACAAAAGAAAUCACGACUUCUGUAGGUAGCUGGGAUGGAAACCUCAGGGGUGACAGGGUCUUUAAAGGAAAUCUCAAGGAAGGCAUCAUGUUCCGGGUGUGCUCCAGGGAUGCUGAGUAAGAAAAGACCAGCCUUUCUGUGUGUGUCUUUACUCUGCCACAAGGCACCUGGGCUCCUAAAUGACCAACACACAUGUGCUAUACUGGUGCCAAGAAAGAAGGGUGUUUUGUAGGAAAGUCAAGGUGAGAGGAGGUGCCCAGGGCUUGGCUCCUUUCUUUGAAGGGUGAUGGUGUAAAUUCUCCAUGCUGGGGAUCCUACUGAUGGAUGGAGGCAUGUCGACCUCAUCAUUUCACAGAGUGGGGAGCUAUGGCCACAACGUGCCUAUCACACAAGUCCAGCCUCACGUCAGCUGGACACCAGCUGUUCUGACACUUGUCAGCACAUGGGGCACCCGGAAGUUCACGGUGUUCUGCAAAGAACGCCACAAAACAGUGAGCUCAACUUCUUGAAAGUCAUAAUGUGUUGCUAAGUCCGAUCCCAGAUCCUAAAAAUAAUAUGAGGUAGUGGCCAUUGAACAGAAAAAAUUUACAUCUUAAACUUGAAGAUAAGUACAAGUGUACCUUUUUCUACCACUGUUGUUCAGUUUUAUUAUAUUGACAAGCACCUCUGCCCACCCUAUGGGGUAAAACUGUUUGAAAGUGUUUAUGAAAGUUUUAUAUAAAUAUUGGCUGAUCAAAUGUACAAAAUAUGCAUGAUGGCACCAUAUUGUGUAUAAUAGUGACAAAUACAGUCCAUGUGGGUGGAGAAACAA